rnacentral:rRNA from 1 species
UUACCCAAUCCUGACACAGGGAGGUAGUGACGAUAAAUAACAAUGCGGGGCUUUACAGUCCAGCAAUUGGAAUGAGAACAAUUUAAAUCCCUUAACGAGGAUCAAUUGGAGGGCAAGUCUGGUGCCAGCAGCCGCGGUAAUUCCAGCUCCAAUAGCGUAUAUUAAAGUUGUUGCAGUUAAAAAGCUCGUAGUUGGAUUUCUGGUCGGAGCGAUCGGUCCGCCUCAUUCGGGGUGUGUACUUGUGUCGUCUCCAGCCAUCCUUGAGGAGAACUGUUCUGGCAUUGAGUUGUUGGGGCAGGGAACCUCAUCUUUUACUGUGAAAAAAUUAGAGUGUUUAAAAGCAGGCUUACGCCGUUGAAUACAUUAGCAUGGAAUAAUAAGAUAGGACUUUGGCGGUCUAUUUUGUUGGUUUGCACGCCGAGGUAAUGAUUAAUAGGGAUAGUUGGGGGUAGUUCGUAUUUAAUUGUCAGAGGUGAAAUCUUGGAUUUCUGAAAGACGAU